rnacentral:rRNA from 1 species
GACGAACGCUGGCGGCGUGGAUUAGGCAUGCAAGUCGAACGGUAUCAUCCUUUCGGGGGUGAGAGAGUGGCGAACUGGUGAGUAACACGUAGGUUAUCUACCCUCAAGACGGGGACAACCCAGGGAAACUUGAGCUAAUACCGGAUGUGAGCAACUUUUAGUUGUUUGAAAGGUGGCGUAAGCUGUCGCUUGGGGAUGAGCCUGCGUCCUAUUAGUUAGUUGGUGAGGUAACGGCUCACCUAGGCAAUGAUAGGUAGGCGGCCUUAACGGGUGGUCGCCCACACUGGGAUUGAGAUACGGCCCAGACUCCUACGGGAGGCAGCAGUCGAGAAUAGUCUACAAUGGUCGGAAGACUGAUAGUGCGACGCCGCGUGAACGAUGAAUCCCUUCGGGGUGUAAAGUUCUUUUAUAUGUGAGCAGUGCUUCUUAUAUUAACAGUAUGGGGAGAGAGAUAUUAGCAUAUGAAUAAGCAACGGCUAACUCCGUGCCAGCAGCCGCGGUAAAACG